AUGAUUGAUCUGAAUGAAGAACCAGCUGAAAAUAAUGAUGAUCCAUUGUACUGUACACAACAUGGUGCUGGAAAUGCAGAAUUUGUGGCGGAAUCACCUAAUCCCCCUAUCAUCCAAAGAGUCGAUGGUGCUGCUACAGAAGCAAUGGAGAGAGAUGGGCAGUCAAGUCAUGGGGGGCGUGCUCCGGGCAGUACACAAGUACCUGCAGCUAUAGCAACUGGGAGUGAUGCUCAUACCCUUGAUGGCACAUGUGCUGCAGGUGAUACCGGUGGCACUGUUGGUAAUGGUUUGGGUGCUGAAAAUGAUGAUGAAGCUUGGUCACAGCCCAAGGAGCCUUACGUGGGCAUGAGGUUCGACACUUUGGAAGAUGCCAAGUUUCGGAAGCCUGAUGUUGAUAACGGAGGGGCAGAAAAGAUUCCCGUGCUAGAUGACAUUGUUGAGCAAGAAAAAAAUGAUAAUGAAGAUGAGGCUAUUGUCUUUCUUGAUGAUGAUAGUAAAGGCAAAAAGAGGAGCAUGAAACGAAAAAGAGAUAAAAUUGUGCAAACUGGUUGCAAAGCUAAGAUGAUUGUGAAGGUAAUAGAUGGCAGAUGGGAAGUGAUCUACUUUGUUAGCGAGCACAACCACCCGUUGGUUUACAAGCCAUGUUUGACUAAAUAUUUGCGAUCACACCAAGGGAUCCCGCCGGAAGAAAGGGCCUUCCUUACUCAUCUUCAUAACUGCAAUUUAACUACAGCACCAACAAGUGGGCCCUCUGAUGGUCCUCCACCAUCAGCUGAUGGUUCUGCACCACAACCGAGUAACUCUCAGGCAACUGGUGGCCCUGCGGUGCAUCCUGGAGGGCCUUCACAAGCCCCUUCUGGACCUGGGCAGCAGAGACCUGCUUCUGCGCCACCACCAAGAAACACUCAGGCAACUAGUGGCCCUGCGGUGCGUCCUGAUGAACAUGCACAAACCUCUUCUGGACCUAGGCAGCAGCGACCUGCUUCUGCAACGCGGAGAAAAAACGCACCAAACCUAACUGGCAACUCUAUGAGUGAGUAUGGACACCAACAGACAACAUUCGGGGGUGCAGCGAUGCAAAAAAGGGUUGUGCCACUACCCAUGAGCCCUCCCACACAAGGCUGCUGGCCUGUACAUCAACUGUCAGGAUAUGUGCCACUGAACAGUGGAGCAGCGCCGCACCUUUCAAGGGGCUCAACAAUGACAAGGCCUGUGCAAGCGCUAAGAGGAGCUGCACCACAACUUUUGAUGGAUACGGCACUAGCAAGAGGGCCUGCGCGACCUCCUAUGGGUCCUAGACCAGCAAUUUGGCCUGCACCACAAACUAUGGGGGCUAUACAGCCACCGCGGGGGCCUAACGCAGCAAACACAACCUAUAUGGCUGGUCCUGGACUGGCACCAUUGCUUGCAUCAACAGCAACACUGGAUGGCUGGAUUGGGCAGCAUCCAGAGUCUUCAACAACACAACAAGAAAAUGCCAAUGCAAUUUCAUCUCCUACUGCGCAAGCUCCUGGUGGAUAUGCGCACCAGCCGCUCAGUAUGGCAUCUCUACAUGCAGCUGUUGCAGCCGCAUAA
rnacentral:rRNA from 1 species